rnacentral:lncRNA from 1 species
GUUCUUUGUUUUUCCUCCUCGAGGUAUUUUUUCUCAGCCCACAUCUGUCGAUCUGGAACAAGCCUGAAGGGAGUUUGACUCUGCCUCAUCCAGCCUCACUGAGUUUUCAGUUCCCAGACUCUGUCCUCAGUGGAACUAUGGGUUCUAGCAGAGAUGGAAGGAAUGAAGGACAACGGUUGUAUUACUGCUAAGAUUGGCCACUUCUUUUAGCACAAUACCCAGGUGCUUUUGGAUCUAUAGAGCCUCUCUUCUCUUUGCCUUAACAAAGAGUCCUAGCAGUCGUCUCUGCUUGGAAUGUGCCCGGGCUCCAGGACGUCAGUGGUCAUGUGCUUCAUGGGACUGGGGGAUGAAUGGAGGACACAGCUUUGCCAACAACAGACAACACUGUUUCCAUAAGAUUCAAUGCUGACUUUCCCUUGGAACUGAACUGGUCUGAUGCUACCCUAGCUUCUGAAUGCAGGUGUUAAAAUCAAAUGACACGAGACUCUCCAUUGUCCCGUAGUUCCAGAGAAGAGAGGUCAUAAACAGGACUAGUAGCCCAUAGGAGAGCAAGCACAAAGUGGAUGUAAAGAGGAAAG